GUGGGGAAUCUUGCGCAAUGGGCGAAAGCCUGACGCAGCCAUGCCGCGUGAAUGAUGAAGGUCUUAGGAUUGUAAAAUUCUUUCACCGGGGACGAUAAUGACGGUACCCGGAGAAGAAGCUCCGGCUAACUUCGUGCCAGCAGCCGCGGUAAUACGAAGGGGGCUAGCGUUGCUCGGAAUUACUGGGCGUAAAGGGCGCGUAGGCGGACAGCUUAGUCAGAGGUGAAAGCCCAGGGCUCAACCUUGGAAUUGCCUUUGAUACUGGCUGUCUUGAGUUUGGGAGAGGUGAGCGGAACUCCGAGUGUAGAGGUGAAAUUCGUAGAUAUUCGGAAGAACACCAGUGGCGAAGGCGACUCACUGGCCCAAUACUGACGCUGAGGCGCGAAAGCGUGGGGAGCAAACAGGAUUAGAUACCCCAGUAGUCC
rnacentral:rRNA from 1 species